GGGGAAUUUUGGACAAUGGGGGCAACCCUGAUCCAGCCAUUCCGCGUGAGUGAAGAAGGCCUUCGGGUUGUAAAGCUCUUUCGGCAGGAACGAAACGGUGAGCGCUAAUAUCGCUUGCUAAUGACGGUACCUGAAGAAGAAGCACCGGCUAACUACGUGCCAGCAGCCGCGGUAAUACGUAGGGUGCGAGCGUUAAUCGGAAUUACUGGGCGUAAAGCGUGCGCAGGCGGUUGUGUAAGACAGGUGUGAAAUCCCCGGGCUUAACCUGGGAACUGCGCUUGUGACUGCACAGCUAGAGUAUGGCAGAGGGGGGUGGAAUUCCACGUGUAGCAGUGAAAUGCGUAGAGAUGUGGAGGAACACCGAUGGCGAAGGCAGCCCACUGGGCCAAUACUGACGCUCAUGCACGAAAGCGUGGGGAGCAAAC
rnacentral:rRNA from 1 species